CAGUCGCCGCGGUAAAACGUAGGUGGCAAGCGUUGUCCGGAAUUAUUGGGCGUAAAGGGCUCGCAGGCGGUUUCUUAAGUCUGAUGUGAAAGCCCCCGGCUCAACCGGGGAGGGUCAUUGGAAACUGGGAAACUUGAGUGCAGAAGAGGAGAGUGGAAUUCCACGUGUAGCGGUGAAAUGCGUAGAGAUGUGGAGGAACACCAGUGGCGAAGGCGACUCUCUGGUCUGUAGCUGACGCUGAGGAGCGAAAGCGUGGGGAGCGAACAGGAUUAGAUACCCGUGUAGUCCCUGUCUCUUAUAC
rnacentral:rRNA from 1 species